UACGAGGGGGCAAGCGUUGGUUCGGAAUUAUUGGGCGUAAAGGCGCGUAGGCGGUGCGGUAAGACUGUGGUGAAAUCUUCGGGCUCAACUCGAAGCCUGCCGCGGUGACUGCCGUGCUCGAGUGUGGGAGAGGUGAGUGGAAUUCCGGUGUAGCGGUGAAAUGCGUAGAUAUCGGAGGAACACCUGUGGUGUAGACAGCUUCUGGACCACGACUGACGCUGAGACACGAAAGCGUGGGUAGCAAACAGG
rnacentral:rRNA from 1 species